rnacentral:rRNA from 1 species
AUUGAACGCUGGCGGCAUGCCUUACACAUGCAAGUCGAACGGCAGCACGGGUGCUUGCACCUGGUGGCGAGUGGCGAACGGGUGAGUAAUACAUCGGAACGUACCUUAUCGUGGGGGAUAACGCAGCGAAAGCUGUGCUAAUACCGCAUACGCCCUGAGGGGGAAAGCGGGGGAUCGCAAGACCUCGCGCGAUUAGAGCGGCCGAUGCCUGAUUAGCUAGUUGGUGGGGUAAAAGCCCACCAAGGCGACGAUCAGUAGCUGGGCUGAGAGUACGGUCAGCCACACUUGGACUGGGACACGGUCCAGACUCCUACGGGAGGCAGAAGUGGGGAAAUUUGGACAAUGGGGGCAACCAUGAUCCAGCAAUGCCGCGUGGGUGAAGAAGGCCUUCGGGUUGUAAAGCUCUUUUGUCAGGGAAGAAACACCGGCUCUAACACAGUCCGGGAAUGACGGUACCUGAAGAAUAAGCACCGGCUAACUACGUGCCAGCCGCCGCGGUAA